rnacentral:rRNA from 1 species
GUACACUCCUACGGGAGGCAGCAGUGAGGAAUAUUGGACAAUGGGUGGAAGCCUGAUCCAGCCAUCCCGCGUGCAGGAAGACGGCCCUAUGGGUUGUAAACUGCUUUUAUCUGGGGAUAAACCUACUUACGUGUAAGUAGCUGAAGGUACCAGAAGAAUAAGCACCGGCUAACUCCGUGCCAGCAGCCGCGGUAAUACGGAGGGUGCAAGCGUUAUCCGGAUUUAUUGGGUUUAAAGGGUCCGUAGGCGGACUGAUAAGUCAGUGGUGAAAUCCGACAGCUUAACUGUCGAACUGCCAUUGAUACUGUUAGUCUUGAGUAAGGUUGAAGUGGCUGGAAUAAGUAGUGUAGCGGUGAAAUGCAUAGAUAUUACUUAGAACACCAAUUGCGAAGGCAGGUCACUAAGUCUUAACUGACGCUGAGGGACGAAAGCGUGGGGAGCGAACAGGAUUAGAAACCCUAGUAGUCCCAUG